UUUUUAUUUGUAACUGGCGAACUUCAGCUCUAGAGCUGAAGUUUUUGUUUGUAACUGGCGAACUUAGCUCUAGAGCUGAAGUUUUUGUUUUUGUAACUGAAGGCGAAGUUUUUGUUUGUAACUGACGAACUUCUACUCUAAAGUCCUCUUCCCUUCAUAAUGAUACUGUCACGAAAACAUGAAAAUAGUUACUUUACUGUCAGAUAAAGCAUUCAAUAGUAAGGAUACCUCGUCUUAUAACUCUCUAAUCGGAUCAAUUAUUUAGAUGAUUAGUUCAACAACUAAACCAUCCAAAG
rnacentral:lncRNA from 1 species